ensembl:lncRNA
CCUUCUUCUCCAACCUGAGAGUCUCUAGUGGUGGAGUUGAAUGCAGCCUCCAGAAGAGUGACUGAUCAGGAGAAGUACCCUGCACUUCACCUCUCUGACAGAGACACUGGAGAGCGAUUUGGGCUUGAACACAGAGAGCCAGGCUGCCGUCCAGUCCCUCUGAACUGGGACAAACACAAAACCCUGAGAAAAGAUGAACCGGCUGCCCUUCAGCCCCCAUCCUCUGUUCCAAAACCUGUGGCUGCCCAACUUCAGGUUCCAGCAGCAGGACCCUCCUCCAGCCUGGCACCGCUAGGUGUGGCAUCCCCCACACCAGCACCACCUGUCACCCACCCUUUCUCUGGUGCAC